UACGACGGGGGCUAGCGUUGCUCGGAAUCACUGGGCGUAAAGCGCACGUAGGCGGAUUGUUAAGUCAGGGGUGAAAUCCUGGAGCUCAACUCCAGAACUGCCUUUGAUACUGGCGAUCUCGAGUCCGGGAGAGGUGAGUGGAACUGCGAGUGUAGAGGUGAAAUUCGUAGAUAUUCGCAAGAACACCAGUGGCGAAGGCGGCUCACUGGCCCGGUACUGACGCUGAGGUGCGAAAGCGUGGGGAGCAAACAGG
rnacentral:rRNA from 1 species